rnacentral:rRNA from 1 species
UACGAGGGGGGCAAGCGUUGUUCGGAAUUAUUGGGCGUAAAGGGCGCGUAGGCGGUUUGACAAGUCUGAUGUGAAAUCUCUGGGCUCAACCCAGAGUCUGCAUUAGAAACUGUCGGGCUUGAGUAUGGGAGAGGUGAGUGGAAUUUCCGGUGUAGCGGUGAAAUGCGUAGAUAUCGGAAGGAACACCUGUGGCGAAAGCGGCUCACUGGACCAACUGACGCUGAGGCGCGAAAGCUAGGGGAGCGAAUGGG